rnacentral:rRNA from 1 species
UACAGAGGGUGCGAGCGUUGUCCGGAAUCACUGGGCGUAAAGGGCGCGUAGGCGGCUCAGUAAGGUUGCGGUGAAAGCCCGGGGCUCAACCCCGGGUCGGCCGUGGCAACUGCUGGGCUGGAGUACUGUAGAGGCAGGUGGAAUUCCGGGUGUAGCGGUGGAAUGCGUAGAGAUCCGGAAGAACACCGGUGGCGAAGGCGGCCUGCUGGGCAGUAGCUGACGCUGAGGAACGAAAGCCAGGGGAGCAAACGGG